UCUCUGGGUCUGCAAAGACUAUGAAUGAACAUGGAUAGAUUUUAGGGUUUUUUGGAAAUUUUUGUCAAAAAGCUGCGCUGGAAUGUUUGUGAAUAGCUAUAGGUUCUAAAUUUAGGGUUUUUCUUCUGUUCUUGUGUAAAAGCUGUGCUCUGAGUUUUUGUCUUCUUUUCUUGGAGAAACGCACUAAAUCACACCUCGAAGGCAGCGAAGUCCACACUUCAAGUUGCACAACGAUGUGAAAGAGACAGAAUAGAUCUGAAUUUGUUAUUUCAUUUUUGUCUUGAUUCGUUGCAGUGGCUAUGAUGAUGAAUCUGCAGAAGAUAGAGAGCGGUGAAGGUUCUGCGGUUUUAAGAUUCAGAGAAUGGUGAUGAAGAUCUUGCAGAGAAUAGGGAGAGUUUUCUUGUUAUAUGUUUUGUUAAGCUCUUGUUGGCAUUGGAUGUAGGGUGAGAUUGUUGGAAACUGAUAUAGCAGUAGGACGGGGAGUCAUAGAUAAGUCCAUGUUAACUUGAUUGUUAUGUUUUUAUGCUACUUUGAUUUUGAUUUUGAUAUUUGUUGAUCAGUAGCUAUGCUCAGACGUAUGCUUCCAAAGGCUAUGCUCAGAUGUAUGAUGCUGACCACUUUUAAACUUUCUGUCCGAUAUAGCUAAGUAUGCUUCUAUCUGUUUGUUGUGGCUUUUCAAUUUUCAGAUUGAAGCAAAGAUGGAUAGAAGUGAGCAUUGAUACACAGGUGAAAGAACUCAUAAAGGCUGUGAAUCACGGUUUAGAAUCUGAAGAUUUUGAUAGUGACGGUGGCAUUCGUAGAACAAUGGUGUUUGCCAACACUGUUGAAGCUGCUGAAGUUGUGGCAAAGAUAUUGAACUUUACUGGGCUUGAGUGUUUACGUUAUCAUAAGAAUUGCACAUUGGAAGAGCGAGCACAAACAUUAGUUGAUUUCCAUGAGAAAGGUGGUGUUCUUGUAUGUACUGAUGCAGCUACUCGUGGUGUGGAUAUUCCAAACGUCUUGCAUGUUAUUUAGCUGCAGGAACCUUGGCACCAAGGUUAGGUUUCGCGUUAAAGGCAUGAUGUACAGUAGGGAUGAUUUAUGAAUUGAUGAAUGGAUUCACAUUUGUGUUGGAACUUGGAUAUUGCAUACUUGUGAGCAGCUUGGAUUGGUGUAUAUUCAACUAGAAAUAAAGCUGACUGACAUGAUGUUCAUUUGAAUCCACAAUUUUGUUUGAGGAUAACCUAAGUCAACACCGCAACGUCGUGGAACUGAGGCAAUUAAAUCAUCUCUGUACCUGCCACGAAGCUUGGCUCUAUAGCCAUUGAAGGAUGGAUAUUGAGGUAUAAACGAUUUAUGGGCCAAGGAGGAUGCAUGGCUAUUGAGGAUGGAUAUUAAAUAGCAUCGGAGUUGGACAAUGGUUGGAAACAAAGUGAAAAAUCAGGCUCUCCAAUUGACAUUGAUUCUUCCCUAAAGGAUUAUUUUACGUUGAUAUUGAAUAUGCCCAGAUGUUGAGAUAAAGUAGCUUGGUGUAAAGGAUUAUUUUACGUUGAAAUUGAAUAUGAAAAGUUUUAUAUGUCUUAUUGUAUUUUUUGCAAAACUAUUGGUCAUUGGAUCAAGGAAUAUAAGAAAACUAAAGUUCCUCGGUUAA